AAAAAAAAAAAAAUCAUAAUGUUUACAUAUAAUUUAGCCUCUUCUAUUGGUCUGUUAUAUCAGCAAAAUUUAUAUGCUUUGGAAAUUGCACCAUAUUUGGAUCUGUUGUCCCAAGGAUCUAUCAUACAAUCACUUUACUGGGUCUGUGAUCUUCUUGUUGGUCUGUAGGCAUUGCAAUCUUUCUCAUCACUUGGUGUUAUAUGUUUCUUUUAUCAAAAGACUUGUUUCUUUCUUACCAGGAACAUCCAUGGUAACCAUUCUAGUGGCAUCAUCCCAAUACAAUUUCAGUCAACACCAAAUUUAUGGUUGGUGAUCAUAGCCUGAGUAAUGUUGUUGCUUUUAAUCUGCAUACACUACCAUAUCAGAUUAUGCUUUGAUAAUUUUUUGCCUUUAUCUCUUAUUAGGUUUUGGGAGAAUAGGUUCCAUCCAAGAGGCAACUUAUUCACCUUAGGACUUCCCUUUGGAAACUAAGUAAAAUAUUAAUAGCCCACCAACAAUUGAAUCAAGUGUUUUUAAGAACUAACUUUUUAGGAAAGUUCAUGAGCACCAGAAAAAAAAAAUCGGAUCCUGGAGGAAAGCCCUCAUAGUUGAUGGAAGAAUUCUGAUGGUAAGUUGCAUGGUGCUCCUACUUCUUGUCCACAUUUAAUUGAGCUUGUGCACAAAAUCACAAAAGCUUGGAGAGCAAGUGAAAGUCCAUGGUAUUAUCUUCCAAUUACUACAAUCAAAGGUAAAAUUUUAUUAGCCUAUGUAUAUGCUUAUUGAUGAUCUAUAGUACUGUUAUAUAUCAGCUAUGGAUUGUUACCUUCCUGAUUUACCUUCCUUCCUGGUUAUUCAAUGGUCUUUGACUACAGUAGACGAAAGUCCACAAUUCCUUGCUCUCAAUCCUCCACUGAUGUUUAUGUGUCAAGGCAGAUUCCCACUACUUGCCAUGUCAGAUUUGAGGAAAUUUCUUCCAAGAGAAGUUUCUUCCAGAAUCCCAGCAAAUGCAAAACACACUAUAGCAAAGGUUCAAUCAGCUAGAAACAACAAUUCUUUGGGGUUUCCCUCAAAAGUAUCAGGCUAUUAUGUAGACAUGGACCAUGUUGUCCUUAGUUUACAACUUCGAUUGUUGUUGCAAGCAUGAUUGCAAACACUAGUACCUAACCAUGCCAGCUUCAUCCAUGUGACUUCAGUUCUUUGGGGUUCCUUAUUAUAUAUAGUCUAUUUUGAUCUUCAGAUUUUGAGUGACGAAUUAUGAAUCUCAAAAAAGCUUCAUUUAGCCAAAUCCAUACGAUGACAUGAUGGUUCUAGAAUUAUAUGUUUUAGAGUUGAAAACUGUGGUUAGAUACUUUUUUUUGUUUUUUUUUUCAGAAAGACAAAUUGGUUAUAUUGAUUUAAUCAAAGCAAUAAGAAAAACUAAAGAACACAUGGAUAUGGAAAAAAUUGGAGCAAACAUAGGUUCCUUGGUUAUGAUUUGGGUGAUGUUCUACAAAUAACUUCUUAUGAGUUAAAUUUCACCAAGAAAUCAGUGUGUCAUUUUGUAUCUAAACAGGAGAUGAGUAGUACAGCAAUAGUUACUGGUAAUCAUUAUAUGUUUGAUCAUCAUUAUAUCUCCUAAUGAAAUAUUGCAUGUUGAUUCUGAUCUUAUCUAAUAUUUUACCUGUAUAAUUGCUGGUCAACCAGAUUGUUAUGGUGACUGAAUCCAUUCGAGCUGCACUAGACUCUAAAGUUGCAAAGUUGCAGGAUUGUGUAUGAUAGUCAACCAAUGGAGUGGUGAAUCAGAGGGAUAACUUCAUAAAUGAUCUUUCUGUUAGCUUGGCAAGUGGACAGGUUCUAUCAGCUGAACUCCUUAAGCUCUGUUAUGUGUUCUGCCUUUUUUGUUGCUACUAGAAAGAAACUAUUGUAUAUCACAUCAUAUAGACCAAAAUGGUGCAUCUUGUUGAAGCAAGUGGUUUGCCAAGUAGUAUAAUCAGGUAUAAAUGGAAUCUUUUCUUAUCUCUAAUGCUUGUGUUACUGAUCAUGUGGGAUUUUAUUUGUGAUUUCAUUUUCUAUGAAUGCAGAAAUUUGGCAUGCAACAAAUUUAGUCAAAAUGUUCCCCACUCCCUCACUUUAAGGAAAAAUCUUUGACAAUUGUUAAUUGUUUUUCCCGAUACUGCCUAUUUUAUUGGUUACUACGGUUGGUUUAUAUUAUAAUGACUCAUAAAUAACAAUUAUAUUCUUAUAGGAAUCUGAACCACGAUUCAUUAUCUGGACCCAUUGGCAAUGUGUUUACUGGCCAACAUAAUAAAAAAGGAAUGUAUAUUUAUCGGCCUGUAAAAUCUAAAAGGAAGCAAGACAGUUAUAUUAUUAGGUGUUACCUAGUGGUAAUAGGUUUUCUUGAAGAUUAUGGCACAAUGAUAAGCCUUCUUUAUAUGGAUGUCUUAUGUGUUAAUAUUCUGUUGUGGAUGGAGUCAAAACUAAUUGAUAGUUGCUUAUAUAGUUUUAUCAGAAAUCAUAAUGUUUACAUAUUAUUUAACUUCUUCUAUUGGUCUGUUCUAUAAGCAAAAUUUCUAUGCCUUGGAAAUCAUACCAUAUUUGGAUCUAUUGUCCCAAUGAUUUAUCAUACAAUCACUUUUCUAGGUAUGUGGUCUUCUUGGCCCUCUCUGUAGGUCCCUUCAUAGCAAUCUUUCUAUCAACUGGUGUUAUAUAUUUCUCUUAUCAAAAGACUUGUUUCUUUUUUACCAGGAACAUCCAUGGUAAACAUUUUAUUAGCAUCAUACCAAGACAAUUUUAGUCAAUAGCAAAUUUAUGGAUUUGGGGAAAUAGGUUCCAUCCUAGAGACAACUUAUUCACCCUGGGAUUUUCCUUUGGAAAUUGAGCAGAAUAUUAAUAGCCUACCAACAGUUGAAUCAAGUGUUGUUCAGAACUACCUCUUUAGGAAAGUACAUGAACACAAGAAGAAAAAACCAGGUUAUGGAGCAAUAGCUCUUUUGGUUGUUGGGGAGGAAUUUUGUUGGUAAGCUGUGCAGUGCUCCUACUUGUUGUUCGCAUUAAUUAAGCUCAUGCACACAAUCACAAAAGCCUGGAGGGCUAUGAAAGUCCACAGUAUUAUCGUCCAACUACUACAAUUGAAGGUGUGAUACAUUAACAAAUGAUGUUGACACAAGAACCCUUAUUGAACCAUUUGAUUUUAAAUGAUGCAGUUGGUAGAGAAGUCCUUGUUAAGCAGGUUUUAUUUCCAUAUCUAGGAAUCUUUUAUUAUUUAUUUCUCUUUUGUUUUUUCUCCAUUUGUUUUCUAAAUUAACCUAGAUUGCAGUAAUGCCUCUACCAGUGUGUUUUAUGCAACUGUUCAACCAUCUUAAGAAGUGUGGUAGGCAAAGGUAAGUUCGAUUUACAUAUUCAAUGUUAUUCUUAUAUAUAUUUAUGCAACUGUUCAACUAUCUUAAAAAGUGUGGUAGGCAAAAAAAUCCCCAAAAGGUAAGUUUGAUUUACAUAUUCAAUGUUAUUCUUAUAUGUAUUUUUUCUCAUAGAAGCAAUUAUCAUCAUCUCCAUAAUCAUUACCAUCAUCCUUGUUGUCAUUGUUGACAUUG